ACGAAGUUUUUCGGAACUUAGUGGCGGACGGGUGAGUAACGCGUGAGAAUCUGCCUUAAGGAUUGGGACAACAGCUGGAAACGGCUGCUAAUACCAGAUAUGCCUAUAAGUGAAAGGAGUUUAUCUCCGCCUUAAGAUGAGCUCGCGUCUGAUUAGCUAGUUGGUGUGGUAAGAGCGCACCAAGGCAACGAUCAGUAGCUGGUUUGAGAGAAUGACCAGCCACACUGGGACUGAGACACGGCCCAGACUCCUACGGGAGGCAGCAGUGAGGAAUUUUCCGCAAUGGGCGAAAGCCUGACGGAGCAAUACCGCGUGAGGGAGGAAGGUUCUUGGAUUGUAAACCUCUUUUCUCAGAGAAGAAUAAUGACGGUAUCUGAGGAAUCAGCAUCGGCUAACUCCGUGCCAGCAGCCGCGGUAAUACGGAGGAUGCAAGCGUUAUCCGGAAUUAUUGGGCGUAAAGGGUCUGUAGGUGGUUGUUCAAGUCUGCUGUUAAAGCGUCUGGCUUAACCAGAUAAAGGCGGUGGAAACUGAACGACUAGAGUGCGGUAGGGGUAGAGGGAAUUCCCAGUGUAGCGGUGAAAUGCGUAGAUCUUGGGAAGAACACCUGUGGCGAAAGCGCUCUACUGGACCGCAACUGACACUCAUGGACGAAAGCUAGGGGAGCGAAUGGGAUUAGAUACCCCAGUAGUCCUAGCCGUAAACGAUGGAUACUAG
rnacentral:rRNA from 1 species